rnacentral:ncRNA from 1 species
GGAAUCGGGAGAGACCGUAUAUAAGCGGCGCCGAAGGGGAUGCAGAAACUCUCAGGCAAAAGGACCGGUU